rnacentral:lncRNA from 1 species
GUGUGUGUGUGUAGCGUUGUGUCUGCUUUGGAAAGCGCUCUGGGGAGGUCCUGUCCCUAGGGGGCGGAGCGCAGGGGACCGAGGCUCCCGCUCGGUGUCGGGGCAGAGUCCCGCGGAACACCAGCGCUGCCGAGGCUGCGGGCGGGACGGCGCGCCUGGCGGCAAAGCGGGCGCACUGAAGGAAGGUCGGCCAGUCCUCCGCCCAGCUCGGCCCCGCUCGCUUUCUGCUCACGUCGGCGGACCUGCG